CUAUGAUUGGAUGGAGUGUGCUUCUUUUUUUCUAGAAGAUUCCAUGAAGCUUCCCAGCAACUCUUUCAUUUCCUCCUCGUUACUGUCUGGCACAUCCAGUUUUCUAUUAAAUACUUGGACUUUAUCCCCUGAGAUGUAUCUACUUAUCAAGACAAGUUCUGCAGGAGAAAUAUCUAAAUCAACCUCCAAUAUUAGUGGGACCAGAAAGUUUGAUGGAAUGGAGGGAAAGCUGUAAACCUGACAGGCUCUACUGACUGGGAUCUGCUCCUCCACAGUUUCCUACCACCCAGAGCCGAGUACACCUUAACACAAGAAUUGAAACUGAACCAACAGUGGGUCAGGAAGUCCAGAUUUAGUGUACAUUCAUAAAUAUUUGUCACUGUUUGUAGAAAAAUAAAAAUAUGACCGAUUCUAAGUUAACAGGCGAGCACAGUAUUCUGAAAUACACUUUAUCAUCUAACAGAUCACGUGGUGAGAUUCCAAUCAUGUAUCAGCACGUGUUCUCAAAUUGCAGUCUUCUUUACUGGCAAUUAUGCUUGGACAUUUAUUGACAGAUAACUGCUGCUCUAGUACCUCACUUAUUUUACUUCAUGUGUUGACAUUUCCCAUUUCCUCAUAUUUUCAGAAAGCCUAGAGUACUUGAAGAAAACAGACACUUUGAUAUUACUUCUUAAAUCCUUUAUGUUUCAUUCAACAUGUGAAAAUAUCAUAAAGUUGCUAAUUCCUG